rnacentral:rRNA from 1 species
ANACNUGCAGUCGAGCGGACAGAUGGGAGCUUGCUCCCUGAUGUUAGCGGCGGANGGGUGAGUAACACGUGGGUAACCUGCCUGUAAGACUGGGAUAACUCCGGGAAACCGGGGCUAAUACCGGAUGCUUGAUUGAACCGCAUGGUUCAAUUAUAAAAGGUGGCUUUUAGCUACCACUUACAGAUGGACCCGCGGCGCAUUAGCUAGUUGGUGAGGUAACGGCUCACCAAGGCGACGAUGCGUAGCCGACCUGAGAGGGUGAUCGGCCACACUGGGACUGAGACACGGCCCAGACUCCUACGGGAGGCAGCAGUAGGGAAUCUUCCGCAAUGGACGAAAGUCUGACGGAGCAACGCCGCGUGAGUGAUGAAGGUUUUCGGAUCGUAAAACUCUGUUGUUAGGGAAGAACAAGUACCGUUCGAAUAGGGCGGUACCUUGACGGUACCUAACCAGAAAGCCACGGCUAACUACGUGCCAGCAGCCGCGGUAAUACGUAGGUGGCAAGCGUUGUCCGGAAUUAUUGGGCGUAAAGCGCGCGCAGGCGGUUUCUUAAGUCUGAUGUGAAAGCCCCCGGCUCAACCGGGGAGGGUCAUUGGAAACUGGGGAACUUGAGUGCAGAAGAGGAGAGUGGAAUUCCACGUGUAGCGGUGAAAUGCGUAGAGAUGUGGAGGAACACCAGUGGCGAAGGCGACUCUCUGGUCUGUAACUGACGCUGAGGCNCGAAAGCGUGGGGAGCGAACAGGAUUAGAUACCCUGGUAGUCCACGCCGUAAACGAUGAGUGCUAAGUGNUAGANGGGUUUCCGCCCUUUAGUGCUGCAGCAAANGCAUNNAGCACUCCGNNCUGGGGGAGUANNGGUCGCAANACUGAAACUCAAANNGAAUUG